AGUGAACGCUGGCGGUAGGCCUAACACAUGCAAGUCGAACGGCAGCACAGUAAGAGCUUGCUCUUACGGGUGGCGAGUGGCGGACGGGUGAGGAAUACAUCGGAAUCUACUUUUUCGUGGGGGAUAACGUAGGGAAACUUACGCUAAUACCGCAUACGACCUACGGGUGAAAGCAGGGGAUCUUCGGACCUUGCGCGAUUGAAUGAGCCGAUGUCGGAUUAGCUAGUUGGCGGGGUAAAGGCCCACCAAGGCGACGAUCCGUAGCUGGUCUGAGAGGAUGAUCAGCCACACUGGAACUGAGACACGGUCCAGACUCCUACGGGAGGCAGCAGUGGGGAAUAUUGGACAAUGGGCGCAAGCCUGAUCCAGCCAUACCGCGUGGGUGAAGAAGGCCUUCGGGUUGUAAAGCCCUUUUGUUGGGAAAGAAAAGCAGCAGGUUAAUACCCCGCUGUUCUGACGGUACCCAAAGAAUAAGCACCGGCUAACUCCGUGC
rnacentral:rRNA from 1 species